AGGCGCUCAUGAAACGUAUCUGCGAGCGAUUAUCUCCAAGCUGAAAGAGCUUAUAUAAAGAAGCUCAUAGCAACAAUGCGAUUCGCACCUCUUCACUCUCUACAAUCGCGUUCACGACGCUUUGGUUCCAACAUGACGACAUGAUCAAGGAUUCGCGACGUUCCUCAAUCAAACAUGAUUCGUGUCGUUCAAUCACAGUUCAAAGAUUCGCAAGUCAACUCGCUUCGUGAUUAUUUGUGCGCAAACAGAAGAAAGACAGUAUUGAAAACGAAUCGAAGAACUCACCGGAUUGAAGCUCCACUUACAACCAGCUAUGAAUCUUCUCCUUCCUCCGCUUGCUUUCCAAUGCCUUCCUCUUCUUCUCCCUCUGUGCUACUAUUACGUUGAAUCGAGUGAAGUUGCGAGAUCGUGAAUUUGGGAGUUGCGAAUCGUUGUGAUGCGAAUGGUUAUUGAUGUGUUUUCUCUGCGAAUUGCCUCUUCCUCAGUUCUAUCUUCUGUUAGGGAUGGAGAAUAGAUUGAAAAAUGCUUAGAAUGAAGAGUCCUCCUUUAACUGAAUGAAGAGUGUAAUUUAUAGUGGAUUGAGUUAACAGAAUGUUAACUCUGUUAAUUGGUUCCAAUGAAAAUCUGUUGGAGGUUAAAUCACAGAGUUAGCUUGCAAUUAGAUUGGGUUAGUUAGGGAGUUAGGAUCAAUUACAGUUAGUUCAGUGCGUUCUGUUAGAAAUCGAAAUUAUUCUGGAGUUAGUUUGUUAGUGUUAGCUGUUAACUUUAGUUAAACUGUUAGUACUGUUAAGUUUUAGUGGUUCUGUUAGAAUGAGCUGGGAAGUUAGUUGGUUAGGAAUAAUGAACAACCUUGCAUUAUCUCAAUUCAAAAGCAGCUGUGAUUUCUGAAUGUGUAGUUAGGCUUGAAUGUUAAGUGAGCUGUUGCAUUGUGGUUAUGUUAAUUGGUUGAUGAAAGUUUGUGUAAUUUGAAUUGAAGAUGAUGUUAUGAAGUUAAUUCACUUUCAGUUUUUUUGUCAAAUUCAGAUAAAACCGGUUUUACCGUUUGUCAAUUGCACUGAAUGUGAAUGGUUGAAUGAAUUGCUUGCAUUGUGAAUGAAUAAAAAUGAAGUCAACUUAGCUGAACUGAAUUACUGAUUUUAAGUGGAGAUAAUUUAGAGUAUUGAUCGUGCAGAGUUUUAAUGCAGUUAUUCUUCUGUUAGAGUUAUUUGGAUGUGAAGUUAGGAAAAGAAAUAGAUCAGUUCUGUUAAGAAAAAAUGAUGCAGGUUGGAAUGAUUAUGCAGGUAACUUUCUUUUGCAGGAUGAACGAAUUUGAUCCUGGUGUUCUUCGGCAAUGCCUUAGCGAAGCGCUGGAACUUCACCGUUCUCAAUCAAGUAGUGCCAUCCUCCAUGUCAACAUCGCAGUUACCAUCGAACCGAUCUCGGUUCCCUUGGAAGCUAAAAGUGAGAUGAUUUUGGUCCUCCUUGGCUGGACCAGUACCCACCUUUCUUUCUAGAUAAUCAUGGCUUUUCAUUUUGAGUGCGGCCUUUCUCAGUAGAUUGUCAGCAUUGCCUUUGUUGGGAUUAUUAAGCUCCUUAGAAUCGGCUUAUUCUUUUUGAUAUAUUUGAAUGUUUAUUGAUUAAUGUAUGGUGAAAUGAUUUGAAAUGUUAGACUUGAAAAGUCAUUUGUCAUGCUUGUGUGAAUUGCAGAAUUUACAGUGGUGUUUGAUACAUGAUGUUGCUCCUGGUAACUGUCUGGAUGAAGCUCACCUUGCACAGAAGCCAUUAGCAUAUAAGGUGGAAUAUUACUGAGCAGAACACUACACAAGUAUGAAGCAAAACACCAGGCUAUUCACUAUUACUGAACAACUUUCAUCUGCAAGCAAUAAUUAAACACUUUCUGCAGGUAAUCCACCACAAGCAGCUAGUGAAGUCAUGGGCGGUGGUGAGAAUGAAAGAGGAAAGAAGGGUAAUUUGGGGCUUAGGGACGGUAGCAUGAUAUGUAUUUGGAUUGCGGUGUGUAUUGCAUUUGUGUAAAUGGUUGUAAUUUUUUGUAAUUUUUGAAUGGAAAUUGGUUUAAAUGGUAUGUAUAGAAAUUGGUGAAUGUAAUGUUGGAAACUGGUUUAAAUUUUGUUUGAAUUGAAAUUGUGUAA